rnacentral:misc_RNA from 1 species
GUCGGCAAUCCCGACAGACGACGCUUGCGGUCUUCGAGUCCUGAAACCUCCGAUGCGAGGCUUCCCUUGUAGGAAGCCCCGCCCUUUAGGGCGGGCGAGGAUGUCACGCACAGUUGC